rnacentral:lncRNA from 1 species
CCUGGGAGGCUAGCUCUCUCCUUAGUUUCAGUAGUCAGAGUAUUCUCUGCAGGCAAGCUUUCUUCUUUCAGGGAAGUUGCCCAGAUAUCUGGUGUUCUAACCUGCCUCCUGGCAGAAGUUGUGUUCCACUCAGCAGAAGUCUUAGGAUCCCGUGAGGAAUCCUGUGUGGGUCCUUGCAGGUGUCUGGAGACUCUGCUGGCAAGGCACCGCGGUGCUCGAGUGGACUGGAAGGGACUUGUGCCCCAGGUCAGGCUGGGUUGUCUGCUUCCCUAGGUAAUUACAGUCUCAGGUUUUGCGCGAUUGGAUUGGAGUAGAUGCCGUGUUCCACUCACCAGAGGUCUUAGGAUACUGUGGGGAAUCCUGUGUGGUUCCUUGCGGGUGUCCAGAGACUCCGCUGGCAAGGCACCCAGGUGCUCAAGUGGACCGGAAGGGCUAUAAAUUCUAAGAAGGCUACUGACAGCAUUUGGACAACACACAGAUCAAAUCUCGAGGCAUUUUGAGUUACAGAAUUGAAUUUAAGGGGCCAAGAAGUAAUGUAAAAUGAAAAACUGGUUUCAGCACACCUGGGCCUUUCAAGGCAUGAGUCCUCACUUUUCGGAAGACAAAAAUUCUAGAUUUGGUGGAACUGUUUGAAAAGGACCUUGUUGGAGAAGGCGUGUGACUAGAGCUGGGCUUUGAGGUUCUACUGUGUCCUCUCUUUGUCUCCUGCUUGUGAAUCCAAUUGUGAGCUGUCAGCUGUUCAUAUUAACAUAUCUUUGCUCUGCUAUCAUGGACUCUCACCUUAAAAAUCA